CUGAGUGACGACUCCAGCGAAGAGGAGAAUGUAGACCGUAACAAAAAACGUCCACAAUCGACUGCAGGAAGUGAAAUGCCUUCAAAUUCUGAUAUCGUGAAUAUGUUACUCCAACAGAAUCAAACUCUCAUGAAAAUUAUUCAGAAAGGGGGACAGAACCAUGGAUUCCAUUAGUGAGGUCAGUUUCGAAGCAGCACAAACUAUAUACGGUGAAGAUAGAAGACUACCAGAUAGUUCUCAAGGACUGUAUCUCACCCUCAGCAAAGCUCCAAUCAACUUUGAUCGCCUUCAAAAUUUAAAGGACCAGCUCCCAAAUGUCUUUCCUCCUGAGGUUUGCACCAAAAUUGCUAUCAGCUUGAGGGACAGCUCCAUGCACAAGUAUGAAAACCUGUAUAACAUUUUUAAAAGUUUCAUUCAUAAGGAGUAUGGAAGCGACAACAAAUUCCCCCUGUUAGCAAUUA